rnacentral:lncRNA from 1 species
GUAGGUGACACCCUCCCCUCUGUCACCCCCACCCACCCCACCCCCGGGGUCAUCUUCACUUCUGAGGAGACUUGCCACAGUCAGCACCGAUCCAGCCCUGUGGGUUGAGAGUUUGCCGUGGUAAAUGAUUUUUUUUUUCUUCUUUCCUGCCUUAAAAGAGUCUUCCGGAAGCUUGUGUGGUCAUACACACCUGUAAUACCAGCACUUGGAAGACGAAGGCAGGAGGGCAAAGAAUUCAACGUUUGUUAGAUAACCUCCAGAAAUGCACAAACACAUAGAGAAAGCUGGAUGGUAGCUGGAGGCCUCAACCUGGUUCCCUCUUUCUGGGUGACUACCGAGCCAACCUGGCCUUGGCUGUGCAAACGCAGAGGGAUACACCCUCAAAUAUGCCAAGGAACUGUGUCCUGAUCACAAACAGCUGUGUGGACACAGAUGGACAUCAUGGGUCUGAUGCCUGGUCCUGCCCUCUCCCUUUGAAACUGACCCAGGUCUCCAGAGCCAGCUGUCUGCAGAAGUCUAGCAUGACUCAGGGACAGCAGUGACUCCCACAAAGGACUAACUAUAGCUGUGUGACCGGGUUUACAGUUCAGCUCAGAGGAGCUUACUCAGACUGCGUGAGGGAGCCCAGCCUGGCAGCAUGCCUGCAACAGCCUCCCCCAGAGUCUCCACCUCCCCUGAGUGCCACAGCAUUAGCCUUACACCCUUCCCCACCCCCCCAGGGAAAAGAGUGUGGUGCUCAACUCCCUCAGGCUGCUCCUCGGGGUUUCUCGUAUGCGUCAGUUCUUGAAACAACUCGCCCCGCAUUCAGCUCACAUGUCCAGUUUAUAAAAUCAAACCUCAAUUUGGAACAGGGCACAGUAGUACAUACAUGUAAUCCCAGCACUGCAGAGGUGAGGGCAGAGUUGUCCAAGGCCAGCCUCAGCUACAUAGUAAUUUUGAAAGCAGCUGUGUAAAACUGUGUCUACCCCACCCCUGCCCCCCCUCCAAAAAAUGACAACCAAACCUCAACUCGGGUCCCUGAAAACUUAGUCCGUGAAAACAUAUUGAGUAAGCACUUGUUAACGGCUUAGUGGCCUACAUGGCAAUAUUGGGAAGUGCCAAGAACUAGUGAGAUGGUUAGAUCACUGGGGAUGCACCCUGAAAAGAGGCUGGCACUUGCCUCCUGUGACAAGAGCCUGCAUGAGGAAAAUCCUGUUGUGGCUCAUGGUUGUCAGGGGGAUGUGGUCCAGCACGGGAGAAAAUAUGGCAGAGCAGAGCAGCCCGUGGCUCGCAGCAGCAGGAGCCUCAGCCUGCUUGUGCACAUCUGGGAGCAUCAGAAACCCACCAGACAGCAAGCUGGGCCUGGCUGCAACUCUUCACAGCCCAUCCUAAAGCAUCCAUCUUCAUCCAGCUGGAUACCACACCCUAAAGGUGCCACAGUCUCCCAAACAGCACCACCAGCCAGGGACCAGGUAUUCAAAUGGUUGACCACUUAGAAUGAGAAGUGCAAGCCAGGAAGUGGUGGCCCACACCUUUAAUCCCAGCACUGGGAUUAAAGCAGAGGCCUGUGGAUCUCUGUUGAGUUCAAGGACAGCCUGGUCUACACAGAGAAACCUGUCUUGAAGAGAAAAAACAAAAAAAGUAAAAUGCUUCCACUAC